rnacentral:rRNA from 1 species
CGAGCGAACAGACGAGGAGCUUGCUCCUCUGAUGUUAGCGGCGGACGGGUGAGUAACACGUGGAUAACCUACCUAUAAGACUGGGAUAACUUCGGGAAACCGGAGCUAAUACCGGAUAACAUGUUGAACCGCAUGGUUCAACAGUGAAAGACGGUCUUGCUGUCACUUAUAGAUGGAUCCGCGCCGCAUUAGCUAGUUGGUAAGGUAACGGCUUACCAAGGCAACGAUGCGUAGCCGACCUGAGAGGGUGAUCGGCCACACUGGAACUGAGACACGGUCCAGACUCCUACGGGAGGCAACAGUAGGGAAUCUUCCGCAAUGGGCGAAAGCCUGACGGAGCAACGCCGCGUGAGUGAAGAAGGUCUUCGGAUCGUAAAACUCUGUUAUUAGGGAAGAACAAAUGUGUAAGUAACUAUGCACGUCUUGACGGUACCUAAUCAGAAAGCCACGGCUAACUACGUGCCAGCAGCCGCGGUAAUACGUAGGUGGCAAGCGUUAUCCGGAAUUGUUGGGCGUAAAGCGCGCGUAGGCGGUUUUUUAAGUCUGAUGUGAAAGCCCACGGCUCAACCGUGGAGGGUCAUUGGAAACUGGAAAACUUGAGUGCAGAAGAGGAAAGUGGAAUUCCAUGUGUAGCGGUGAAAUGCGCAGAGACAUGGAGGAACACCAGUGGCGAAGGCGACUUUCUGGUCUGUAACUGACGCUGAUGUGCGAAAGCGUGGGG